GCUUUCGUGGUGUAGUGGUCAGCCUCUCGAUGCGUAUUCGAGAGGUCCGUGGUUCGAGUCCCGGUGAGAGCA
rnacentral:tRNA from 1 species